UUACGGUCAAAUCACGCUUGAAAACACCGGUUCUCGUUCGAUCACCGAAGUUAAGCAUCGUAGAGCCAGGUCAGGUCAGUACUUAGAUGGGGACCGCUUGGGAACACCUGGUACUGUAAG